GAUGAACGCUAGCGGGAGGCUUAAUACAUGCAAGUCGGACGGUAACAGGUCUUCGGACGCUGACGAGUGGCGAACGGGUGCGUAACGCGUACACAACCUACCUUUUACUGGGGGAUAGGUUUUGGGAAACUGGGAGUAAUACCCCAUUCGUUUGAGCUGCGGCAUCGCGGUUCAAAGAAAGGUUUACUGGUGAGAGAUGGGUGUGCGUCCAAUUAGGUAGUUGGUUGGGUAACGGCCUACCAAGCCGACGAUUGGUAGCUGGUCUGAGAGGAUGAUCAGCCACACGGGCACUGAGACACGGGCCCGACUCCUACGGGAGGCAGCAGUAGGGAAUAUUGGUCAAUGGACGGAAGUCUGAACCAGCCAUCCCGCGUGCAGGAAGAAGGAUCUUUGGUCUGUAAACUGUCUUUUCUCAAGGAAGAGAGAUAGAGAUUAAUCUUUAGAGGACGGUACUUGAGGAAUAAGCACCGGCUAAC
rnacentral:rRNA from 1 species